CCAGUGAAUUUCAUUAGUUGUUUUAUAGGCAUUUGGCAAUGUAUAUUUCCCAUUUUUUUAAAAAAAACAUGCAGGUUACAUUACUUGCUAUUAUUAUUCCUGGGAUUCAUCUUCUCCUUAUCCUCUUCCAUUUGUAGAGAUUCCUUUCCCACACAAAUUCUCCUAUAUACCCAAAUCUCUAUCAUGAACCAUUUUAAGUGAUAAGUAGCACAAAUACACUUCCCACACUGCCUUAUUUUUCAUUCAAUUUAUGGCCAUUUGAUAGUCCCAAUUUUAGUUAACUGUGAUUCAUCAAUCUUACUUUAUGCUUAGUGGGUUUUGUCUCAUUUAAAAGUAAUCUUUUCCUAAUCCUAAUGUCAUGAAGAUAGUCUCUGUAGUUACCAUUUACAAACUUCAAUCUUUACUUCAGUAUUCUGUACUACAUUCCCCUUGGCAAUGACUCUUAUGUUAAGAAUGAGAGAUCCAGAUUUGUUUUGAGGAUUGUAUGAGUAGGGUUUUCUAGAGGAACAGACCUAUAGAAUGUAUAUAUUACACAAGGGAAUUUUCUAUAGUGGCUUACUAGCAGUAGUGCCUGGGUACUUCAGUAAUGCCCAUCUGCAUGCUAGAGAGUCUGAGAGGUAGUUAUCUGAUCAGCCCAUGAGUCUUUAAUAGUCUUCAUCCUGGGGCUAAGAACCUGGAGGAUUCUUGAAGAGCCGUGGUCUUCAGUCCACAUGGGAAGGUGAAGCUGGGUUCAGAUGUCAGUGAGGAGUGGCAGCACAGGUAACAGAGACAGGCUAUGCACAUUCACUAUCAAUAAAGAAAUGAAGGGAGGCAAGCAACAUUGAGUUUUUCUUCAGUGUCUUCCCAUCUGUGUCACCAUGGCAAGGUGAUACCCAUUCUGGGGUAAGGUACUCUACCACCAGUCUAUUCUUACAGGACAUGCUCUCGCUGACUCACUCUCCAAGUUUAUUUCUCAGGAGAUGCCACCUCUAAACAAGCUGACAAUCAUGAUUAACGGGCACAAGUGUUUCAAGAUUUGAUUUGCAUUUCCCUCCUUAAGAGAACUUGUUGGGUAACAAAAUGUUCCUUGUGGAGAUGCAACACAUGUGUCUAUUUACCAAGGUGAAGGCUGAUUGACAAAGUGAUACCAACUGAGACAGACACACAUGCUAAGACAAAACACAUGCUGAGACAAGACCCAUGUUAAAACAAGACCCAUGAUGAGUCAAGACCCAUAGAGGAUACAAAAUGUUUAAAGGAUAUAAAUAAGACUUGACAGACA